UCAUCGAUCUGGAGUCGCCUAAAUGCAGGAGCGGGGCAGCCGGGGCAAAAUCGAGGAGUCACAGUAGUGCAGGUCAUCCAAAGCAGCAGAGUCAUGGGAGAAUCAGUUUGUCACCGCAGUCCAAGGCUUUCAAGGUCUCAGGCACAAGGGGUAGCCUUCAAAAGACGGCUGCACGGGUGGUAUCUAGGUAUCGGCAAAGCAGGGUACUAAAUAGACAGAAGAAAGACAACACUACCUUUGGUAUCAAUUGCAGGUGCCAGCCCAAAUGCAUAGUGAAUAUCACUAAAGACUUCGAUGAUAGGAAGAAGGAGUUGAUUGCUGAAAUUGGAUUUGAUGGAAUUUUGGAUAUCAAACUUACUAAGGUAAACAGGCAGUUUGGGGCAUGGCUUCUGAGCAAGGUUGAUCCAAAAUCAGGCACUAUUGUUACAGAUUUCAACCAGGAGUUGCCAUUUGGUCCCAACGAUGUCAAUGCAGUUUUUGGCUUGCCAUGCUCAGGUCAACUUAUUAUCCCUUGCUCACAAGAUGAAUUAGACGGGAAGAAACAAAAAUUGUGUGAAAUAUUUGAGAUUCCAAACUUUUCACACCUGAAAAUAUCACUCUUAGAGAGAGUCCUAAAGAAGCAGUAUGUUCAUCCCAUGACAAUAGAUGAAAAGAGGGAAUUCAAGGCGGCUUUUGUGUAAUAUGUCACAACAAAGCUCUUGGCACCGCAAUCCUGCGCAAACUUCAUAUCUCCUAGGUAUAUUAGAGCUGUGGCUGAUGUUGACAACAUAAAACAGUACAACUAGUCCCAGUUCGUCAUAGAUGAGGUGAAGAAAGCAGCAGAAUCAUUGCCCAAACGCUUUCCGAAUACGACGCAACAAUCCAUUAACGGGUGUAUCAUCUUCCUAAUGGCAAAAUAUUUGAGCAAACUCGUGAUACAGAAGGUUGGGAUCACGAGUGUUAAAUCAUGCCACAUUUCUCAGUUUGAGGACAAUCAAAUUGCUAUGAUGAUCCAACAAGAUAUAGUAAGUAAACAUAAUCCAGGAUACACUUUCCCUCGUUAUGGGAAGCUCCAGUUGAUGAAGGCUCCAAGAGAAAACUACCCUCAAGCGCCAGAGGUGUCUCCCCUCAACUUAUCCUCCGUUUCGAAGAUACAAUGCAGAGGCAAUGAUGGAGGCGCCAAUUUAAUCAAAUUCCUGGAAUCACACUUCAAUUCGUUAGACGUGAGUGCAAUGGUUGGGCCACAGGCCUAUAAGGAGUUGAAAUCUUACGUUCAGGAUGGAUUCAAUCGGAUUGAUGAGAUUUUGCCUAGCAUAGCAGAUUUCGUAGACAUAAGCAACCUCAAAACUGCUACUGAAGCAGCAAACAUGUUCAAGAAAGCUUUCAAGUAUAAUAUGGCAGCGGCAGUUAAGAUAGCGACGAGGGCAGCAGUUAGGAAUGUUAUUGAUACCAUUGAGGAUAUGCAAGGGCCUCUCCAUCCAUGGGGAGACCCCUCUGCCAUGGGAUACCACACACCCACGAACUACUCCACACAUGCUACAGAAUAUGAAAAUAUAGUGGAGCAACCAACAGAUACCCGACACUGUGAUCACAAAUUUGGAGCCUCGCAGUGCACUCCUACAAAAUUUAAUGGAGCUCCAGGUUCGAAAGAGACUAAUUCUUCAAUGUCGCCUACGUCGGGAACACGCAUGACUAACCAAUGUUCAAUUAUGCUAAUUGAAGAAUUCGGAACCGACGAGCAGAAGAAGCGCAAAUAUACUGUUGAAAACCACCUUCUCACUUGCUGAAACACAAAUCAAAGCGUGCAGUUAAACCAAACAGGAAACUCAUGUCACCUUUCCUGUCAAAACAAUGUUCGACUGAGAGGCUGGACUCCAGGACUACUGAUGAACUGUAUUCCUAUGUUAUGUCUAUUUCUAACGAGGCAUCGUUAGACACAAAAUGGCUGCAAUGUUCCUAUCCAUUCAGGAUUUCAUUGACGCUACGAAACAUCCAGGAGACUAUAAAGAUUGGGAGCCGAAUGGAUUCAGAUUCUCUCAACCUUGCUAUUCGAAUAAUGUUCUAACAAGAAGUUGAGAGAUUUCAAAACACAAACUACUUGGGUUGGUGGCAUUUCAUUAACCAAGAUUUUGGGAUGUAUGCUGUAGCUGGAGAUGAAUUUUGGGAAGCUAGUCAUCAACUUGCACACUUCACGGGCCCCGAAGUUGUAUAUGAUGUUUCAGAUAGUCACAUGAUACUAAUACCUGUUCACCUAUUCAAACAUUACGUGUUGUACGUAUUUAACAUGGAGAGCAAGAAGGUAUUAGUCCUUGAUUCACUGAACACCCAAGAUCCACUGGGGAAUCACGUUUCACCAGGCAUGACAAGAUUAAGAUCAUGGUGUCCCGGUGCGUAAUGGAAUGCAUGCGUCUGGCAUCUCCAGGGUGGAACAAGGACAUACUGAACUGGGACUAUGAGGCAGUGGAAAAUAUACCAGAGCAGCAAAACGGGGAUGACUGCAGCUUUCACGUAUUCAAUAAUAUGGUGAACUGGGAUGGUCUUCGUCUUGUGAACUCUACUUCACAGGACCCGUACUACCUCCGGCGACAAUUUUUGAUCCACCUAUUGGCUCUGCGUGAUAACGAGGCAAUACUUCCAGAAUAUGUGGUGCACCGUCUUCGACAUAUUAAAUACAAUUAGUUCAACAAUUUUAUCCUUAUAGUUUUACCAUAACUUUUCAUGUAAUUUUCGAUAUUCACUUAUGUCUUCGCUUGACAGAAUCUUAAAUUCGUUGCUAUGCAUGGACAAAGAAACAUCUGUGUUCAAAUGACAGUUCCACAUACUUAGUUAUUUCAAUUUUUCGCUACCCCAAACAAUAACAGUAUGCAAGUGUUUAUUCAACUGAUUGUAUGGCUUA